rnacentral:rRNA from 1 species
CCUACGGGUGGCAGCAGUGGGGAAUAUUGGACAAUGGGGGCAACCCUGAUCCAGCCAUGCCGCGUGUGUGAAGAAGGCCCUCGGGUUGUAAAGCACUUUCAGUGAGGAAGAACGCCUGGUGGUUAAGACCCAUCAGGAAAGACAUCACUCACAGAAGAAGCACCGGCUAACUCCGUGCCAGCAGCCGCGGUAAUACGGAGGGUGCGAGCGUUAAUCGGAAUUACUGGGCGUAAAGCGCGCGUAGGUGGCUUGAUAAGCCGGUUGUGAAAGCCCCGGGCUCAACCUGGGAACGGCAUCCGGAACUGUCAAGCUAGAGUGCAGGAGAGGAAGGUAGAAUUCCCGGUGUAGCGGUGAAAUGCGUAGAGAUCGGGAGGAAUACCAGUGGCGAAGGCGGCCUUCUGGACUGACACUGACACUGAGGUGCGAAAGCGUGGGUAGCAAACAGGAUUAGAUACCCUUGUAGUC